rnacentral:rRNA from 1 species
AAAAACAUGUCUCUUAGAAAACAUUAAGAGUCAGGCCUGCCCAGUGAUCACUUUAACGGCCGCGGUACCCUGACCGUGCAAAGGUAGCAUAAUCAUUUGCCUUUUAAUUGGAGGCUAGUAUGAAUGGUCCGACGAGAGUAAAACUGUCUCAUAUAUACUCAAUAUAAAUUAACCUAAAGGUGCAAAGGCCUUUAUCUACUAGAAAGACGAGAAGACCCUGUUGAGCUUCAAUCUUAACGAGCAUCUUUUCUAUAUUUAUAAAUUUAUUUUGCUUGCUAAAGAUUUUAAUUGGGGCGAUUAAGGAACACCCAUCAGCUUCCUGAACUUACUUAGAAAUAUUUAUGAAUUAAAUCGAUCCAGCAGUGCUGAUCAGCAAAAAGAGUU